GACGAACGCUGGCGGCGUGCUUAACACAUGCAAGUCGAACGGAAAGGCCCUGCUUUUGUGGGGUGCUCGAGUGGCGAACGGGUGAGUAACACGUGAGUAACCUGCCCUUGACUUUGGGAUAACUUCAGGAAACUGGGGCUAAUACCGGAUAGUAGCUCCUGCUGCAUGGUGGGGGUUGGAAAGUUUCGGCGGUUGGGGAUGGACUCGCGGCUUAUCAGCUUGUUGGUGGGGUAGUGGCUUACCAAGGCUUUUACGGGUAGCCGGCCUGAGAGGGUGACCGGCCACACUGGGCCUGAGAUACGGCCCGGAAUCCUACGGGAGGCAGCAGUGAGGAAUAUUGCACAAUGGGCGGAAGCCUGAUGCAGCAACGCCGCGUGCGGGAUGACGGCCUUCGGGUUGUAAACCGCUUUCGCCUGUGACGAAGCGUGAGUGACGGUAAUGGGUAAAGAAGCACCGGCUAACUACGUG
rnacentral:rRNA from 1 species